AUAAGAUGAGAAACUAUUUCCUUCUUGACUUAGGAAAAUUUAGACUUGGUACCUUUGACCUUAUUUUAAUAGUGUUGGGACACCUUAUAAAAUGUCAAUGAGCCUUUGAAAAAAAAAGAAAAAAAAAAAAAGAAAAAUGUUUGCUUGCCUUGAAACCCGAGCAAGGUUUGAGGGGUAUAUAGUGAAAAUCUUUAAAACCUAGUGCCGUAAACCUUCAUUGGUUGGGAGUCACCGACCUCAAUGCUCGUUAUAAGGGUGAAUAGGUGGAGUUCAACAUACUGUAGGUGCUUGGGUAUUAAAAUUCAUUCUCAAAAGUCCGGGGUAAAAUCCGAG
rnacentral:lncRNA from 1 species